rnacentral:sRNA from 3 species
GGAGCAGCAACGAUGUUACGCAGCAGGGCAGUCGCCCUAAAACAAAGUUAACCCAGGAUGAGAACCUUGAAAG